GAUGAACGCUGGCGGCGUGCCUAAUACAUGCAAGUCGAGCGAAUGGAUUAAGAGCUUGCUCUUAUGAAGUUAGCGGCGGACGGGUGAGUAACACGUGGGUAACCUGCCCAUAAGACUGGGAUAACUCCGGGAAACCGGGGCUAAUACCGGAUAACAUUUUGAACCGCAUGGUUCGAAAUUGAAAGGCGGCUUCGGCUGUCACUUAUGGAUGGACCCGCGUCGCAUUAGCUAGUUGGUGAGGUAACGGCUCACCAAGGCAACGAUGCGUAGCCGACGUGAGAGGGGGAUCGGCCACACGGGGACUGAGACACGGACAAGACUCCUACGGGAGGGAGCAGUAGGGAAUCUUCCGCAAUGGACGAAAGUCUGACGUAGCAACGCCGCGUGAGUGAUGAAGGCUUUCGGGUCGUAAAACUCUGUUGUUAGGGAAGAACAAGUGCUAGUUGAAUAAGCUGGCACCUUGACGGUACCUAACCAGAAAGCCACGGCUAACUACGUGCCAGCCGCCGCCGUAA
rnacentral:rRNA from 1 species